CCCUAGCCCCGAUAGGAGUGGAAAUCCUUUUGCUUGCCAAAACGCAGUGACGGCAAUCAAAAGAUUGAAACGAAUAGCGGGAAAAAGC
rnacentral:sRNA from 1 species